rnacentral:lncRNA from 1 species
CGGCGCCACAGCGGGCACGGUGGCCACGAGGCCGUAGGCGGCCAUCGGCAACUGGCUCCAAUCGCCGGCCUCGGCCGUCGACGGAUCGAGACGCCCCAUGGUGACGACGGCGUCGUUGAGUCCCAGCGUGUAAUCAUACAGGGCGGUCGAAAUCGACGCCGCCUCCUGGUAGGAGGUCGUGGUCUCGUCGGUCUCGGACACAUAGGCCGCGUUGAUGGCGGCAAACAGGGCGGUUCCGCGAGCGUGGCCGGCCAGCGCGAUCACGGUGGGCGGGUUGGAAAAGUCGAUGGCGACCGCCGCGCGGGCGGCGAGGAGCGCCAUGGCCAAGAGCACGGCACCGUAUAGAGCCGUGGACGUCUUCAUGAUCACAACGCGGCGGGCUGCGCUUUUCAAGGAUGACAGAGAUGUGGACUUGUCGUCGUCGUCGUCGGCGUUGUCGGCAACGGCGAUGGUGUUGAUAUGCGGAAAAGAUGGAGGGAGAGGGGUCGAACGCGGUGCGACGAGCGACGGCUGUGCGAGUGUGGUGAUACCGCCGGCGGUCAAAAGUCGGUGAUGAUGCGCAAGGGCAAAGAUAGUCGCUCGAUGGCCUCGCGCCGCCUUUUAGCGCCUUUGGCCCAAAGGGCGAGGGUGUUGACCGGCCAAUCACACCACCCUUUAGGCCCGGUGCCCUCGGUUUUCGCAUUGCCGCCGUAUCGCAACAUAGGUCGACCGUGAGGUGUUGCGACACGCUGCGGUCAUAAGAUCGUGUCAAAUACACGGUAUCACGUCAACAACCCCAAAAAUGAAAGAGUCACCCGCGAUACACAUGUAUCCGUGUCACAGAGGCGUGUGCCCGGUGCCGUCGACCGAGACGGCGGCAUAUCAGGGACACGGUGCACUUGGACACGGCGAUCACGGGACACGCCAAUGGCGGUGACUCACGGACGCGAUCAACGGGCGG